rnacentral:rRNA from 1 species
UACGGGGGGGCAAGCGUUGUUCGGAAUUACUGGGCGUAAAGGGCUCGUAGGUGGCCAACUAAGUCAGACGUGAAAUCCCUCGGCUUAACCGGGGAACUGCGUCUGAUACUGGAUGGCUUGAGUUUGGGAGAGGGAUGCGGAAUUCCAGGUGUAGCGGUGAAAUGCGUAGAUAUCUGGAGGAACACCGGUGGCGAAGGCGGCAUCCUGGACCAAUACUGACACUGAGGAGCGAAAGCCAGGGGAGCAAACGGG